rnacentral:misc_RNA from 1 species
GCGGAAGGAUCAUUAACGCGCAGGCCGGAGGCUGGCCCCCCACGAUAGGGACCGACGUUCCAUCAGGGGUGAGCAGACGUGCGCCGGCCGUACGCCCCCAUUCUUGUCUACCUCACCCGGUUGCCUCGGCGGGCCGCGCUCCCCCUGCCAGGGAGAGCCGUCCGGCGGGCCCCUCCUGGGAGCCUCGAGCCGGACCGCGCCCGCCGGAGGACAGACACCAAGAAAAAAUUCUCUGAAGAGCUGUCAGUCUGAGCGUUUAGCAAGCACAAUCAGUUAAAACUUUCAACAACGGAUCUCUUGGUUCCGGCA